AGUGCAAUCACGGGAGACAGACAUCGGGUGCUAACGUCCGGUGUCAAGAGGGAAACAACCCAGACCGCCAGCUAAGGUCCCCAAGAUUGGCUAAGUGGGAAACGAAGUGGGAAGGCUAAAACAGUCAGGAGGUUGGCUUAGAAGCAGCCACCCUUUAAAGAAAGCGUAAUAGCUCACUGAUCGAGUCGUCCUGCGCGGAAGAUGUAACGGGGCUAAGCCAGUCACCGAAGCUGCGGACGCGCCUUGUGCGCGUGGUAGGAGAGCGUUCCGUAAGCCUGUGAAGGUGUCUUGUAAAGGAUGCUGGAGGUAUCGGAAGUGCGAAUGCUGACAUGAGUAGCGAUAAAGGGGGUGAAAGGCCCCCUCGCCGUAAGCCCAAGGUUUCCUACGCAACGUUCAUCGGCGUAGGGUGAGUCGGCCCCUAAGGCGAGGCAGAGAUGCGUAGCUGAUGGGAAGCAGGUUAAUAUUCCUGCACCGUCGUAUGAUGCGAUGGGGGGACGGAUCGCGGAAGGUUGUCCGGGUGUUGGAAGUCCCGGUCCCUGCAUUGGAGAAGGCGCUUUGGCAAAUCCGGGCGCGGGAUUCAAGGAUGUGGGGCGAGCGGCCUAGUGCUGCGAAGCAAUCGGAAGGGGUCCCAAGAAAAGCCUCUAAGCUUCAGUCAUACGAGACCGUACCGCAAACCGACACAGGUGGGCGAGAUGAGUAUUCUAAGGCGCUUGAGAGAACUCGGGAGAAGGAACUCGGCAAAUUGGUACCGUAACUUCGGGAUAAGGUACGCCCUGGUAGCUUGACUGGCCUGCGCCAGAAGGGUGACGGGGUUGCAAUAAAAUGGUGGCUGCGACUGUUUAAUAAAAACACAGCACUCUGCAAACACGAAAGUGGACGUAUAGGGUGUGACGCCUGCCCGGUGCCGGAAGAUUAAAUGAUGGGGUGCAAGCUCUUGAUUGAAG
rnacentral:rRNA from 1 species